UAAUUUUAGUGUUAUCAACAUAUUUUAGUGGUAUUGGAUUAGCUUGUCGACUAAGUCGAUCUUGUUAAAAUUAAACGAGUUAGGAGAUGCGGGAGUGCAUGCUCGAUUUAAUUUAACAAGAUCGGGUAUCGGUUUGUUUUGGGCCUUGUUGAAUCAUUAAAAUUAAUUUGUGAUUGGGCCUAAGUGGGCUAUUUGUUAAAUUAAUAAUCACUUAUAUUUGGGCUUAUAUUGAUUGGUUUAGAUUAAUGAGCCUAUUAUAUUGGAUGUGAGAUGCAAAUAUGGAACGGAUCUGUUUUUGUUUUUAUUUUGGGAAAACAAGGAAAACAAACUGAUGAAAAUUUUGUGCUGGUUGUGACGCACACUAGUAUCACGCACAAAAGAAAAACGGUUCUUGGUCGAACAACAUAGAAAAGAAAGGGUACGCGAUUCGAUCUUCUCAUGCAAAAUCAAAUUCGUUCUUGAGUGGUCUCCACAUCUUAUCCGAUUAAUCAUUGGUAGUACCACCAAAUAGGUUAAUCUGAAAGUGAUUACACGAUUUGUGGGGAAAUCCAAGUCGUCUUCUUCAUCUUUAUUUUACUGCAAUCGGUUCGAAUUUGGUCAGAGAAUCAUCCGGAUACAACAAAGAUUAACCUAUUUGGUUGGUUGAUUCUAUUCUGAUCUAAUGUUCGAAUUGACUUGUUUGAUAUUAGAAUUUGUGAUCUUUGAAAAUUUGUAUCCGAAGUGGUUCGUUUCUUGCAAUUCUCUAACAAGAAAGUGUACGCCUGUUCAUCUCUUGCAAACAGAGACGACUUGAAUAAUAUCAAUCAUCGAUUGAUAAGAAGGCAUAGGCGGCAACUGAAUCGGAAAGGUUUCACUCCAGAUUCAGUUCGUUAUUUUUUAUUUUCAAUUUAAUCGAUCACAGGAAGCGCAUUCACCGUUAGUCAUUGAUGGUGUGCGCUGCAAGUCAAAGAAGACAGAAGGCAACAUGGUUUCCUGUUUUGUUACGGAACUGAAGCCAUAAAUUUGUUCCGUUGUUGGGAAGAUUAGUCGAGAUUGUUGGUGUUGUGGUUGUUCCAUCGAAGCCAGAAAAGAAAGCCGAAAGGUUGUGUCGAUUUCAAAUCGAACAGAAAACUGUGUAAUCAUUGGGUUUGUGUUCGUGGAAUAGGGACGGGAAAAUAGAGAAUCCCAACGGUUUUGCUUUUCUGAUUUUGUAAUCGUGAAAACAAGGAUGACAGGCUCGUUGUUCUUGUGGUAUAUGGAAAUCGUAAAUCGGGUUGGGUUCCUGUAGAUUUGCAGUUGAAACAAAAUUGAUUUAUAUGGUGUUCUUGGUUCAUGAUUGUGAUAUUCAACUGAGAUGAAAGAUGAAACUUUUGUGUUGUUCGGUUCUAUUCGAUUCUGGUUUCGAGUUUGUUGUUCGUGUUAAUGGUCGAUCUGAAAAGGAGAUGACAUCAGAGGCAUUUAAAUCUCCAAGUGCGAGAAUAAAAGAACUACCUAUAAGAGUAUGAAGUUUAGCCGCUUCAAGAAGCUUGGACUUGGCUUUGAUAUACUCUUUGAAGGAUUGGACACAGGCUAGUAAAAUAUUGUGUCAAGUAAGAACAAUGAAUUUGUGAACUUAUGUGUAUAUUAUCUUCAUGUAUUCAUUGUGAAUAGAAAGGGUUCAAUCCAUAGCGACACCCUGAUAUUCGAAUAUUUGGAAUGUGUAAUAUACUAAUGUAAAAUUCAAUCGUCGCGAUAUUUCAUUUAUGCAUAAGUUUGAGUUUGCUUGAGAAGUGUUUUAAGUUAAUCAUGGAUAUCACUAAAAUGAGGGAGGAUUGUUGGUAAUUUUAGUGUUAUCAACAUAUUUUAGUGGUAUUGGAUUAGCUUGUCGACUAAGUCGAUCUUGUUAAAAUUAAACGAGUUAGGAGAUGCGGGAGUGCAUGCUCGAUUUAAUUUAACAAGAUCGGGUAUCGGUUUGUUUUGGGCCUUGUUGAAUCAUUAAAAUUAAUUUGUGAUUGGGCCUAAGUGGGCUAUUUGUUAAAUUAAUAAUCACUUAUAUUUGGGCUUAUAUUGAUUGGUUUAGAUUAAUGAGCCUAUUAUAUUGGAUGUGAGAUGCAAAUAUGGAACGGAUCUGUUUUUGUUUUUAUUUUGGGAAAACAAGGAAAACAAACUGAUGAAAAUUUUGUGCUGGUUGUGACGCACACUAGUAUCACGCACAAAAGAAAAACGGUUCUUGGUCGAACAACAUAGAAAAGAAAGGGUACGCGAUUCGAUCUUCUCAUGCAAAAUCAAAUUCGUUCUUGAGUGGUCUCCACAUCUUAUCCGAUUAAUCAUUGGUAGUACCACCAAAUAGGUUAAUCUGAAAGUGAUUACACGAUUUGUGGGGAAAUCCAAGUCGUCUUCUUCAUCUUUAUUUUACUGCAAUCGGUUCGAAUUUGGUCAGAGAAUCAUCCGGAUACAACAGAAUUUAAGAGCCCUCUGUAGUAUUGAACAAAGACUGGUGUGUAGUGGAUUUAAUGAAUGUAGCUUAUCAUAUAUUGGUGGUUUGUGUAUGCUGGUCACUUUCAAGGAUAAUAUUCAGCAAAGUUGUUUUUAUUUUAUUUUAUCGAAUUGAAUCUGUUUGUUGGUCA